rnacentral:misc_RNA from 1 species
AACACCUCAACUUCCAUAUCUUUUUUGAAAUGGGAGCUGGACUUGAGUGAUCCCAACGCUUUUCCUCACCGAAAAGUGGCGGGUUACUUGAAAUGCAGGUGCAGCUGGACUUUUCUCUGAGCUAUAAGCAUAUCUAUUUAGUCUGCCUAAAAAACAGAUUAUUACCUUUGCUGCAGCUAACAUAAAGGAGAUUAGUUCUUGUGCUGACUGAUGCAGGAUUCACAAAGAGAGCUUCGGCCGACUUUGUAA